rnacentral:rRNA from 1 species
CCUACGGGAGGCAGCAGUAGGGAAUCUUCCGCAAUGGACGAAAGUCUGACGGAGCAACGCCGCGUGAGUGAUGAAGGCUUUCGGGUCGUAAAGCUCUGUUGUUAGGGAAGAACAAGUGCUAGUUGAAUAAGCUGGCACCUUGACGGUACUUAACCAGAAAGCCACGGCUAACUACGUGCCAGCAGCCGCGGUAAU